AGCUCAGUUGGAAGAGCAACGGUCUUUUAAACCGAAGGUUGUGGGUUCAAGUCCCUCUGUAU
rnacentral:tRNA from 1 species